ensembl:misc_RNA Metazoa_SRP Metazoan signal recognition particle RNA
GCUGGGUGCAGUGGCUUGUACCUGUAGUCCCAGCUACUCAGGAAGCUGAGGUGGGAGGAUAGCUUGAGCCCAGGAGUUCUGGGCUGUAGUUCGCUAUGCCGAUCAGGUGUCUGCACUAAGUUCGGCAUCAAUAUGGUGACCUCCCGGGAGUGGGGGACCACCAGGUUGCCUAAGGAGAGGUGAACCAGCCCAGAUCAGAAAUGGAGCAGGUCAAAACUUCCAUGCUGAUCAGUAGUGGGAUCACGCCUGUGAAUAGCCACUGCACUCCAGCCUGGGCUACAUAGCAAGACCAGGUCUCUA